rnacentral:misc_RNA from 1 species
GAUGAAGAACGCAGCGAAAUGCGAUAAGUAAUGUGAAUUGCAGAAUUCAGUGAAUCAUCGAAUCUUUGAACGCACAUUGCGCCCGCCAGUAUUCUGGCGGGCAUGCCUGUUCGAGCGUCAUUUCAACCCUCAGGACCCUUUGGACCUGGUGUUGGGGCUCGGCCGCUACCCCGCGGCCGUCCCCGAAAGAUAGUGGCGGUCUCGCUGUAGCGUCCUCUGCGUAGUAAUUACACCUCGCACUGGAACGCGGCGCGGCCACGCCGUUAAACGCCCCACUUCUCAAGGUUGACCUCGGAUCAGGUAGGAAUACCCGCUGAACUUAAGCAUAUCAAUAAGCGGAGGA